AAUCAACACUCUGUAUGGUAAUGUGGAGCAGCCGAGAAGAACAGCACGCUACUUCCAAAGGCCACAGACUGCAAAAGAGCCUCCAGGCUACAGACUAAGCACUAUCUCCAGGCUUUUUUAUAGUAGAAGGAUCUGGAUGAACAGAAUAGCAACCAACUUAAAAGUAUUCUAGCCUGGUGACAGCUUGUCCGUCCCAUGCCGAGACCAUCUUUUCGAGCCGCCUGCUUGGCGCGGUUACCUAGAAUCAUUGGCGGAUUUAGGUGGUGGCUACAGAGGCGAUGACUCAAGUUAGAACAUGAAAAGAACAAAAGAGAGAACAUAGAGAAAAAGAGAGAAAAAGACAGAAAAAAAGACAGAGUUAAGAAAGGGUGAUAAAGAGAAAAGAUAAAGAGAACUAUAAAAGACAAAAGACAAGUUGAAGAGAACUAAUCAAUGCACAGAGGCACAGACAGAAAAAAAAAGACAGACACAACUAACAUAGAAUUAAAGAAAAAAGUAACAGUACCGAAAGAAAGAACUAAUAGAGAGAAUGGAAAGAAAGAACUAACAGAGAGAACUAAUAGAGAGAAUAGAAAGAGAGAACUAACAGAGAGAAUAGAAAGAAAGAACUAGCAGAGAGAAAAUAGAGAACUAACAGAGAGAAUAGAAAGAGAGAAAUAACA